rnacentral:lncRNA from 1 species
AGACUUUGUGAGCCUGUGUCUUGCCUGGGCAUGCACAUGGCUUUCUAAAUUCUCUCGUAACAGCUGCUUUUGAGUGUCCUAAUUUCCCAAAGAGUCUUACUCCAGCUUCUCAUCUGGGCCUUAGAUGGUCUACUCUAUGGCUCCACUCAAAAUCUCUUGCCCAGGCCAUGAGCCUAUAGUGAUCUUGCAGCUUUUAUUAACAGUGUCCACUUAUUUUUCCAGCUGUGUUCUGAGUUAGGUAACACAGAUUAUUUACAAGGAGGAAAUUGGAACAAGGCUGGCUGCUGUGUUUCAAGACAAAGACUGCUGCCACACCGGGGAGAGGAUGGGGCCAGGGCUGCUGUGUAUCCUGGGACCAUCUGCAAGGACACUCUACUGCAGGUGCCUGAUCAGACUUCAAACUGAUAUUUUUGUUGAGAAGUUGAAAGAGGGAGAUUGUAAACGGGCCCAAAGUCCUUCUGGAGAAAAACUACUGUGAGGGAAAAUUUUAGCAGGAGGAAAGAUUUUGUCAGGCUGAAUUGAUCCAGUUGUGUUUCCAGGGCAUCCAAGCCUCUCCCUGCGGCCCUGGCCCGCCUCCUCCCCAUGCACCAGGCUCUGGCUCCCGGGUACUCCUCCUGCCAUGGGGCCCACGCAGCAGCUACAAUGCAUGCUUUGUUCAG